GCCGAGGAAAAGGAGGAAAAGCUGAAGUGCCUGAGCAUCACUGGACACAGUCCCUCUGGAGCUGCUGCCAGACCAUUGAGUGCUCCAUCCCUGCCUCCAGACACUCUCUUCCUGGAGGAAAGUCAGCAACUUUGGGUCUAUUCCAUUUUUUCACCCAUGCCAAAGCCUAUUAAAUAUCAGGUUUGCCGUAGGUUUGUUUGGAUUUGGUCCACAAAUGCCUCCAGGGCAGGUCAAUCCAUCUCCCAAGCCAACCUUUGGCUGUGCCUUUGGAGCUUGCAAAAUGCAAGGAGACCUCUCUCAUUCUGCUUGAAUAUCCCUCCCCAUCUCAGUCCCAAAUGGUGAGAAGCAUCAGGGAAUAUUAUUGAUAAACAAUAGAUGUCUGGUGGAGAUGCUGAUGAUUUUCCUGGUACAAAAGGCUGCUGCAUCCUCUGUGAUAAUUCCCCUUUCUUUUCCUCCUUGUUGGCUUUGUGGCUUUGUGAUUUAUUUGCGGGCUGGCAGGCAUCCACGGCCCUGCAGGAAAUGAUGUCUGCUCUUGUGUUUGGGGGGGCCAUAUAAAUGUGUAAUUUUCCCACUACAUUAAUUACAGACGUUUCUCCCUGGC